rnacentral:lncRNA from 1 species
AGAAUGCUUUCAGAUCGUCAUCUUUGCCAGCCAAAGCAGUCUCUUCUUGUCUGCUUCCAAGAGGCAUGAGCUUAAACAACUGAUCUCAGAGUGGGGUGUAUCUACAGUCUUAGCCAUGAGGAGAGGUGAUGAAAUGUUCUCCUGUUCAGUAUAUGCAGAAGAGACGAGCUAAGCUGCUAUCUUCACAGCAGUAAAACUACAGUGAAAUCUGAAUUCUUUGUUCUUGUUUCACUGCCUGCUUUGAGGAAAACAGUGAUCAUGAGAUCAGACAUCAGCCUCAGGUGCUGCAGUCCAGGAGACAGAAGAAGGCCAGAACACAUCUCAUCAUUGUUUGUUUCAUUGGACUGUCUGCCCAUCCAAACUGAUCGGUCCUGGGAAAGGCAAGGCAAGCAAUGCAUACAUUUCUAGGUCUUGCUUCCAUCUU